UGAAAGAGAAGAGGUAUAAACAUGUAGACAGAUGGGGGAAAGAGAAGAGGUAUAAACAUGUAGACAGAUGGGGGAAAGAGAAGAGGUAUAAACAUGUAGACAGAUGGGUGAAAGAGAAGAGGUAUAAACAUGUAGACAGACAGGUGAAAGAGAAGAGGUAUAAACAUGU